UACAGAGGGUGCAAGCGUUACUCGGAGUUACUGGGCGUAAAGCGUGCGUAGUCGGCUUUUUAAGUCGGGUGUGAAAUCCCCGGGCUCAACCUGGGAAUUGCAUCCGAUACUGGAUCGCUAGAGUUCGGCAGAGGGAAGCGGAAUUUCGGGUGUAGCGGUGAAAUGCGUAGAUAUCCGAAGGAACAUCAGUGGCGAAAGCGGCUUCCUGGACCAGAACUGACGAUCAGGCACGAAAGCGUGGGGAGCAAACGGG
rnacentral:rRNA from 1 species